rnacentral:rRNA from 3 species
UACAGAGGGUGCAAGCGUUGUUCGGAAUUAUUGGGCGUAAAGCGCGUGUAGGCGGCUUUGCAAGUCGGGUGUGAAAGCCCUCGGCUCAACCGAGGAAGUGCGCCCGAAACUGCAGAGCUUGAGUACCGGAGAGGAUGGCGGAAUUCCCCAAGUAGAGGUGAAAUUCGUAGAUAUGGGGAGGAACACCGGUGGCGAAGGCGGCCAUCUGGACGGAUACUGACGCUGAGACGCGAAAGCGUGGGGAGCAAACAGG